rnacentral:rRNA from 1 species
ACCCUGUCGCCGAAAGUCCAAGGGUUCCUGCUUAAAGCUAAUCUGAGCAGGGUAAGCCGACCCCUAAGGCGAGGCCGAAAGGCGUAGUCGAUGGGAACCAGGUUAAUAUUCCUGGGCCAGGAGGAUGUGACGGAUCUCGACGGUUGUCUGCCCUUAUCGGAUUGGGUGGGCCGCUUAGAGGUUCCUGGAAAUAGCCCUCCAUUAGAUCGUACCCUAAACCGACACAGGUGGACUGGUAGAGAAUACCAAGGCGCUUGAGAGAACCACGUUUAAGGAACUCGGCAAAAUGCUCCCGUAAGUUCGCGAGAAGGGAGCCCCGUCUGUAGGCAACUAUGGGCGGGGGGCACAAACUAGGGGGUGCGACUGUUUACUUAAAACACAGGGCUGUGCGAAGCCGUAAGGCGACGUAUACAGUCUGACGCCUGCCCGGUGCUGGAAGGUUAAAAGGAGGGGUGCAAGCUCCGAAUUGAAGCCCCAGUAAACGGCGGCCGUAACGAUAACGGUCCUAAGGUAGCGAAAUUCCUUGUCGGGUAAGUUCCGACCUGCACGAAUGGCGUAACGAUCUCCCCGCUGUCUCAAACGUGGACUCAGCGAAAUUGAACUGUGUGUCAAGAUGCACACUUCCCGCGGUUAGACGGAAAGACCCCAUGCACCUUUACUAUAGCUUCGCACUGGCAUCAGGAUUGUGAUGUGCAGGAUAGGUGGUAGGCUUUGAAGCGGGAACGCCAGUUUCCGUGGAGCCUCCCUUGAGAUACCACCCUUCGCACUCUUGAUGUCUAACCGCGGUCCGUUAUCCGGAUCCGGGACCCUGCGUGGUGGGUAGUUUGACUGGGGCGGUCGCCUCCCAAAGAGUAACGGAGGCGCGCGAUGGUUGGCUCAGAGCGGUCGGAAAUCGCCCGUUGAGUGCAAUGGCAGAAGCCAGCCUGACUGCGAGACUGACAAGUCGAGCAGAGUCGAAAGACGGCCAUAGUGAUCCGGUGGUCCCAAGUGGGAGGGCCAUCGCUCAACGGAUAAAAGGUACGCUGGGGAUAACAGGCUGAUGAUGCCCAAGAGUCCAUAUCGACGGCAUCGUUUGGCACCUCGAUGUCGGCUCAUCUCAUCCUGGGGCUGGAGCAGGUCCCAAGGGUAUGGCUGUUCGCCAUUUAAAGAGGUACGUGAGCUGGGUUUAGAACGUCGUGAGACAGUUCGGUCCCUAUCUGCCGUGGGUGUAGGAUACUUGAGAGGAGUUGCCCCUAGUACGAGAGGACCGGGGUGAACGUUCCACUGGUGGACCAGUUGUCGUGCCAACGGCAGUGCUGGGUAGCUAUGAACGGACAGGAUAACCGCUGAAGGCAUCUAAGCGGGAAGCCCCCCUCAAAACAAGGUAUCCCUUGAGAGCCGUGGAAGACGACCACGUCGAUAGGCCGGAGAUGUAAGCGCAGCAAUGCGUUCAGUUGACCGGUACUAAUUGCUC